GUAUUCUGUUCUAUUCCGUUGUUUUUCUGUUGUUUCCUGUUGUUUCUUGUUGUUUUUCUGUUGUUUCCCGUUUUUUCUGUUGUUUUCUGUUGUUUCCUGCUGUUUUCUGUUCUAUUCUGUUGUAUUCUGUUGUAUUUUAAUGUAUUAUGUUCUAUUCCGUUGUUUUUUGUUGUAUUCUGUUGUAUUUUAAUGUAUUAUGUUCUAUUCCGUUGUUUUUUGUUGUAUUCUGUUGUAUUUUAAUGUAUUAUGUUCUAUUCCGUUGUUUUUUGUUGUAUUCUGUUGUAUUUUAAUGUAUUAUGUUCUAUUCCGUUGUUUUUUGUUGUAUUCUGUUGUAUUUUAAUGUAUUCUGUUGUCUAUUCUGUUGUAUUCCAGUGGUGUAUCAGAAUUGGUGUACGUUUAGAAAUAAGGGACGUUUAUGCAUUUUUUUCAUUGACUUGGAAAAAACACAAACGUUUGCUUAAUUAUGGACGAACGGCUUCGAGUUGCCUCGUGCAAUAUCAGAAACCCCUAAAUGACCGACUCUUCCAUGCCUGAGAUGACCCGCCCUGCCCUGCGUCAUGACCUCCCGGCAUACAUUGGCCAAGCAGUGCAGAGGAGAAGGAGGAGGAGGAGAAGAAGGAGGAAGAAGAAGAGGAGGAUGUGAGUUCUAUACAUAAAGGCAGAUCAAUAUAUAGAAGCUUAUGGAGUAGAGGAAAUAUGUCAUUCUAUGUAUUAAAGAGGAUAAGAGGGAGGAGAAGGUUAACUUGUAAAUAUAGGCAGAAGUUUAUGUGCCAAGGAAAAUAUUUAAAUGAUUUGUAUUAUGCAUGUAUUGAAAUGGUAUGAACUUGGAUGUUUGUAUGUAUAUGGCUAUGGGAUUUACUUACAAGGUCUGUGGUGUUUUUUUUACUUAUAAGGUUGUACUCAGGAUUUUACUUAUAAGUUCUGUGGCUGUGGGUACCUCCUACAAAGCCUUUCUACUAUGGCUAUUAAUUAACAAAAACCUCUUUCUUUCAGCUUGUGUACUGGCUCAGAAAGUAGUGAAAGGGUGCAUGUUAUCUAUGAAGGCUAUAUCAAUAAGUAUGGAAGUGUGUUAUGGCUAUUAACAACAAUC